GCCCAGCUAAUGUUUUGUAUUUUUAGUAGAGACGGGGUUUCACCAUGUUGACCAGGAUGGUCCCUAUCUCUUGACCUGGUGAUCCACCCGCCUCGGCCUCCCAAAGUGCUGGGAUUACA